rnacentral:rRNA from 1 species
UACGAAGGGGGCUAGCGUUGUUCGGAAUUACUGGGCGUAAAGCGCACGUAGGCGGACUAUUAAGUCAGGGGUGAAAUCCCGGGGCUCAACCCCGGAACUGCCUUUGAUACUGGUAGUCUCGAGUCCGGAAGAGGUGAGUGGAAUUCCGAGUGUAGAGGUGAAAUGCGUAGAUAUCGGGAGGAACACCAGUGGCGAAGGCGGCCUUCUGGCUCGUGUCUGACGCUGUAGCGCGAAAGCGUGGGGAGCGAACGGG